rnacentral:rRNA from 1 species
UACAGAGGGGGCAAGCGUUAUUCGGAAUUAUUGGGCGUAAAGGGCGCGUAGGCGGCGGGGUAAGUCGGGUGUGAAAUCUCAGAGCUCAACUCUGAAACUGCACUCGAUACUGCUCUGCUUGAGGACUGGAGAGGAGACUGGAAUUCACGGUGUAGCAGUGAAAUGCGUAGAUAUUGUGAGGAAGACCAGUGGCGAAGGCGGGUCUCUGGACAGUUCCUGACGCUGAGGCGCGAAGGCCAGGGGAGCAAACGGG